rnacentral:rRNA from 1 species
CCUACGGGGAGCAGCAGUGAGGAAUAUUGGUCAAUGGACGCAAGUCUGAACCAGCCAUGCCGCGUGCAGGAAGACGGCUCUAUGAGUUGUAAACUGCUUUUGUACGAGGGUAAACGCAGAUACGCGUAUCUGUCUGAAAGUAUCGUACGAAUAAGGAUCGGCUAACUCCGUGCCAGCAGCCGCGGUAAUACGGAGGAUUCAAGCGUUAUCCGGAUUUAUUGGGUUUAAAGGGUGCGUAGGCGGUCGGAUAAGUUAGAGGUGAAAUCCCGAGGCUCAACUUCGGAAUUGCCUCUGAUACUGUUCGGCUAGCGCGUAGUUGCGGUAGGCUGAAUGUCUGGUGUAGCGG